CCCUUAGAUGUUCUGGGCUGCACGCGUGCUACACUGAUUAUUUCAACAAGUGUUUUAACUGGAGAGUUCGCGUAAUCCUGAAAUGUUAUCGUGAUGGGAGUAGAGUAUUGUAUUUGUUAAUCUUUAACGAGGAAUUCCUAGUAAGUGUAGGUUUAUAAGUUGUUCUGAUUACGUCCCUGCCCUUUGUACACACCGCCCGUCGCUCCUACCGAUUGAGCGAUCCGGUGAAUGUUUUGGACUGGUGUCCGCAAGCGUUUCGCUUCGGACGCUACGAAAUUUUGUAAACCUUAUCGCUUAGAGGAAGGAAAAGUCGUAACA
rnacentral:rRNA from 1 species